GGGUUGUGAGGUUAAGCGACUAAGCGUACACGGUGGAUGCCCUGGCAGUCAGAGGCGAUGAAGGACGUGCUAAUCUGCGAUAAGCGUCGGUAAGGUGAUAUGAACCGUUAUAACCGGCGAUUUCCGAAUGGGGAAACCCAGUGUGUUUCGACACACUAUCAUUAACUGAAUCCAUAGGUUAAUGAGGCGAACCGGGGGAACUGAAACAUCUAAGUACCCCGAGGAAAAGAAAUCAACCGAGAUUCCCCCAGUAGCGGCGAGCGAACGGGGAGCAGCCCAGAGCCUGAAUCAGUGUGUGUGUUAGUGGAAGCGUCUGGAAAGGCGCGCGAUACAGGGUGACAGCCCCGUACACAAAAAUGCACAUACUGUGAGCUCGAUGAGUAGGGCGGGACACGUGGUAUCCUGUCUGAAUAUGGGGGGACCAUCCUCCAAGGCUAAAUACUCCUGACUGACCGAUAGUGAACCAGUACCGUGAGGGAAAGGCGAAAAGAACCCCGGCGAGGGGAGUGAAAAAGAACCUGAAACCGUGUACGUACAAGCAGUGGGAGCCUCUUU
rnacentral:rRNA from 1 species